ACCGAAGCUCGCAAUGUGGCCACGAAAGAAAAGCUUAACAGCACGAGGUUUUCCUAGUUGAGUUGACCGGUUGAGAAAAAGUAAUACGUGUUGUUCUCUAGGUAUUUGAUAUACAGUUUUAUUAUUUAUUAACGCGAUUCUUCCGGUGUAAGAGUGCGUUUAUGUGAUUUAAAUUUUACAAACUUUGAAGUUAUUAUAAUCCAGUUAAAGCAAAGGUACCUAUUGAAGAUCUAAAACGUCUACUCAGUCUUCACUGCAUCGAAAUUAUAAAUGAGACUGAAGUGACCUUGGAAGAGCCAUCAAUGAACUUCAUACCAAGGAAAGUUAAAGUUGUUAUCUUCAAUCCAACCAACGCGACUUGGAUCCGAAUUUGCGAUGGGAUCAAUGCAGAAGGAUAUCGUGGAUUCAUGCGGCGUCCCGGUCAAGCUUUGCUGGAUUUAUAGAGUUGUUCGACCAUCAUAACGAGAUGUUGAAGAUCAGCUACAAAUUUAGUUUCAUUCGUGCUGGAAUAUUCUUAGCAAACGUUUGUUUAUGUCAUGGUCUCGCGAUUUAGUCCUUAAAGAAGAAAAUGUGGAAAUUGGAAAUCAUCACAUCCUUUUGAAGUUUUGAUAAUGAUAAAAUAUUUUAUUCUGGGAAAAAUGAGCGAAAUGAUCGAUAUUUUCUUCUGGAAAAUUCCAACAUGGAAGUUUCAGAUAUUCAAAUACGACGGUCAGGAAUGGAUCAUCUAUUAGUGGAAUGUUUAAAGAGAUGUAAGGUUGCGAUUAAAAUAUGGGGAGAUCUAACACAGUUUCAUUCGUGGUGUAAAAUUCUUAGCUAACGUUUGUUUAUGUCAUGGUACCAAGAUUUAGUCCUUAAAAUGCGGAAAUUUGAAAGCAUCACAUCCUUUUGAAGGAACGAUAAAAUAAUUUAUUCUGGGAAAAAUGAGCGAAAUGAUCUA